GGAUAUAGCUCAGUGGCAUAGCAUCUGCCUGGCAAGUACAAGGUCCUAGGUUGAUUUCCUAGUACCA
rnacentral:tRNA from 1 species